GACGAACGCUGGCGGCGUGCCUAACACAUGCAAGUCAACUUGACUGAAGGAGCAAUCUGACAGUAGAGUGGCGCAAGGGUGCGUAACGCGUAAGUAACUUGCCCAAGGUAAGGAAUAACGUCGAGAAAUCGGCGCUAAUACCUCAUAAUGCAGCGGAUCCGCAUGGAUAUGUCGUUAAAGGUUUACCGCCUUGGGAUAGGCUUGCGUCUGAUUAGUUAGUUGGUGUGGUAACGGCACACCAAGGCUACGAUCAGUAACUGGUCUGAGAGGACGAUCAGUCACACUGGAACUGAGACACGGUCCAGACUCCUACGGGAGGCAGCAGUGAGGAAUAUUGGGCAAUGCUCGAAAGAGUGACCCAGCAACGCCGCGUGGAGGAUGAAGGUAUUCUAUAUCGUAAACUCCUGUGAGAGCAGACGAAAGACAGAUUAUUAAUCUGGAUGACUGUAUGCUCAGAGGAAGCCCCGG
rnacentral:rRNA from 1 species